rnacentral:rRNA from 1 species
AUUGAACGCUGGCGGCAGGCUUAACACAUGCAAGUCGAACGAGCGGCGGACGGGUGAGUAAUGUAUGGGGACUGCCCGAUAGAGGGGGAUAACUACUGGAAACGGUGGCUAAUACCGCAUACUAUCGGAUAACCCAUAUGGGAUUAGCUAGUAGGUGGGGUAAAGGCUCACCUAGGCGACGAUCUCUAGCUGGUCUGAGAGGAUGAUCAGCCAAACUGGGACUUAGAAAAGGCCCAGACUCCUACGGAGGGAGCCGUGGGGGAUAUUGCACAAUGGGCGCAAGCCUGAUGCAGCCAUGCCGGGGUUAAUAAGAAGGCCUUAGGGUUGUAAAGUUAUUUCAGCGGGGAGGCGUUACCCGCAGAAGAAGCACCGGCUAACUCCGUGCCAGCAGCCGCGGUAAUAC